rnacentral:rRNA from 1 species
AAUCAACGCUGGCGGCGUGCCUCAGACAUGCAAGUCGAACGCGAAAGGCCCCUUCGGGGGCCGAGUAGAGUGGCGCACGGGUGAGUAACACGUGGGUAAUCUACCUCUGGGUGGGGAAUAACGACCGGAAACGGUCGCUAAUACCGCAUAAUGCAGCGGCACCACAUGGUGACAGUUGUUAAAGCGGGGGAUCGUAAGACCUCGCGCCUAGAGAGGAGCCCGCGGCGGAUUAGCAGUUGGCAGGGUAACGGCCUACCAAGGCAACGAUCCGUAGCCGGCCUGAGAGGGCGGUCGGCCACACUGGCACUGACAUACGGGCCAGACUCCUACGGGAGGCAGCAGUCGGGAAUUUUGGGCAAUGGGCGAAAGCCUGACCCAGCAACGCCGCGUGAAGGAUAGAAA